rnacentral:rRNA from 1 species
UGGGGAAUUGUUCGCAAUGGGCGCAAGCCUGACGACGCAACGCCGCGUGGAGGAUGAAAAUCUUCGGGUCGUAAACUCCUGUCGAGUGGGAAAAAUAGUUUCCGGGCGAAUAUCCCGGGAGCCUGACGGUACCACUAAAGGAAGCCCCGGCUAACUUCGUGCCAGCAGCCGCGGUAAUACGAAGGGGGCUAGCGUUGUUCGGAUUUACUGGGCGUAAAGGGCGCGUAGGCGGUGCAAUAAGUCAGGCGUGAAAGCCCCGGGCUCAACCCGGGAAUUGCGCUUGAUACUGUUGCGCUUGAAUCCAGGAGAGGAUGGCGGAAUUCCCAGUGUAGAGGUGAAAUUCGUAGAUAUUGGGAAGAACACCAGUGGCGAAGGCGGCCAUCUGGCCUGGAAUUGACGCUGAGGCGCGAAAGCGUGGGGAGCAAA